rnacentral:rRNA from 1 species
UACGUAGGGUGCAAGCGUUUGUCCGGAAUUAUUGGGCGUAAAGAGCUCGUAGGCGGUUUGUCGCGUCGAAUGUGAAAACCCGGGGCUCAACCCCGGGCCUGCAUUCGAUACGGGCAGACUAGAGUUCGGUAGGGGAGACUGGAAUUCCUGGUGUAGCGGUGAAAUGCGCAGAUAUCAGGAGGAACACCAAUGGCGAAGGCAGAUCUCUGGGCCGUAACUGACGCUGAGGAGCGAAAGCAUGGGGAGCGAACAGGA